CAAAAAUGGCAAUCACAUCUAUUCUUCUUAUAAAUGUAAUCUCUUGUACAAGCUCAAGGGUCUUCCCUGGGGUGAGAGUUUCCACCUUUUGGUAAAAUGAUACACUCCCAGGACUGAGGAAACAUGACCCCUGAUGGAGAUAGAGUUAUUAAAGUAAGGUGACUUUCUUGAAGCUGUAUUCCAGAAAUGGAGGCAAUGAACCAUUAAGAUUAUUAUUAUUUUUUGUUAAAUUCUGAUUAACAUUGUAAAUUGUUUUAACUGAUUUUUAAUCUACUAAUUGUCCUGGGAAUGUAUGGCGAAGGCAGGUAAGCAGUAUCAACACCAUCAUCAAGAUUCCCCAUGAGAGACUGUGCCCUUUGGGUUGCAAAAGGUUGUCUCCCUCCCCCACCCCCCGUUUAUUUUGUGUUGCAUUCAGAGCACCAAAAAAAUUACUUCAUUUUUAUACAUUCUGUAAAACUACAGAUUGCGCGACUCUAGUUUCAAGUCUUAUUUGUGUCUUGUACAAAACACUGAUAUUGAUACAGAUAGCUGUGCACUCCCUUGAACUCCAUUUCCCCCUCUAUUUAAUUCCACAGGCCAGUUGGGAGUUGUAAUAUUUUCAAGAGUUUAGCUUACAAAAGAUCUAAAAAUAAACCAACUUCCAUGAAAGGUUUGGCCUCUCAGUCUCCAAUUUCAGAGAGAAGGAUACGUCUGGUCUUGGCUUUAAGCUGCCAGGAGGUUCAGAGCUAAUAUAAAGGAGUCACAUUAGAUUGGGUUGGGAAAAGACGAGAAGAUAAAGUGAAUUCAGCUUGAACUAACAAAGCUUCUAUUGAAAGUUUUAGUUUCAUCUUUCAAGGCAGUGGAGGAGAGGAAAGAUGUAUUUAGAUACAAGAACCCAUUUCCCCAAACAACAAUUCUACUUUGACAUCAUUGCAGCUCCAGAGUACACCCACAACUUCUCUGCAAGUAGGAAAAUACAACCUCUAUAUGUGUUUUAAGAGCACAGCCAAUUAGCAAGUUUCCUUGAUUUCAGCUGGAUUUAUAGACACACUUUUUGUGGUUAGAUUUAAAUAUACCACAUUAAAACAGACAGUUUGUUGCAGACGUUCACCAUCAAUAUAACUUUGUUCACAUAUAUAAUGCUCAAUCCCUAGUUGUGAGAGCAGACUAUCAUGUUCAGAAAUAUAAACAUUUAGAUACAUAAGUCAUCCGUUCUAAUGUCACUGAGAGCAAGAAGGCUGUCUUUGUGGGUUUUUGCAUCCUGACAGCUUAAAUUGGGUUGUGGAAUAACUGGGUAUAGAACACAAUAGCAAACCUGUCACAAAAGCAUGUUAAUCACUGUGCAACUGAUACGUGACAUCCACUGGUGAAAGGCAUUUUUUACAGUGUUUCAUUAAAACUAAAAGGAGGAUUAAGAGCCUACUCCUUGAUUAAUGUCUUCUAUGACUGCAAGAUGUGAGCUCUAGAUAUGACUGAAAUAUAGAGGAUAUGAAAUUAAGUAUCUGCCAGUGGAGCCUUCUAAACACAUACAUGAGUAAGCACUAAAAUAAUUAGUUAAUUCAUCAAGGUAGGAGAAUUCUUCUUAAAGCCAUACCUGCGGCCCCACAAUCUAACUUCCUCACCCACUGUGGAACCAAACAAUCUUGUUGCAUGACACAGAGUACAAUUGGUACCCCACUAAUACACUCUUGCUAAGGUCAACACCUUAAAAAUAGAAAUGUUCAUCCACUUUGAACAAAGCCAGCUACGAAGCUGACGCAUGACACUUUGAAGAUAUUUGGGUCUCCUCCAAAAAGAAGUGGGUUUUGUCCGAAGCAAAGUAGGCUCUUCCCAAGGUUUCAGAAAAGUGUUGGGGAGGAGGUUCUGGUCAAUACCUGAACCUCCCCCAAGCCCUCCAUAAAAGGAAAAUGCCAGGCAGAAGGAAAGGAGAAGGGUGUUGUUGUUUUGUGACUAACAGCUGUAUCUUCCAACUGCAGAAUAACCUUAUCAGGGCUCUCCAAUCACUACAUUUGGGAGGAACAGUGAAGAAAAACAACAAAAAUUAUUCCCGGGUUUCCAAUACCCUUUUCCAAGUUGCGUCUCCCACGAGCAACAACAUGGUGGCGGCUAUGUUUGGGUUGUGUGACCUUAUUACAAUCCAGGCCAAUCCUAACCUAAAGCCCGUCCUAAAAUGCAAUCCCUUGUAUCCAAAGUCUUGUUUGCUCUUGCUACUCUUUGUGUUUGCUUUGAAUCAGUUAUCAGGUAUGUCAUUUCCCUUUGCUUGGCUCCCACCCCCCACAUUUGAGCCUUACUUGAUAGUGGCAGGGAAUUACAUUUAUAUUCCACUUUUCCUCCAAGGAGUUAACAUACCUGGUUCUCCCCCUCUCAUUUUUAAUCUCACAGCAACCCUGCGGGGUAGGUUCAGUUGCAAAAUGUUGACUGGCCCAAUAUCACCCAGUAAACUUCAUGGCUGAGGUAGGAUUUCUUCUUAAGUGGAUACUAUUUCCACUUAAGAACACAACUCUGCCACUCUCCAAGUCUAUGGUCUCUUUAACAUAUUCUGGAAGGUUGUAUGUGAUCCCCCCCCCCCCCAAUAUAAUAAACUAUAAUAAUCUGAGGUUAAGGACACAUUUAUUAUUUCACAAAGCUCUUUAAAAUGUUAAUCACUGUACACACACACACACACACCAUUAGCCACUGCAAAAACUACCUGCAAAAUACAAGGUUCCAGGUUUUGUAGAGUGGUGGCACUGAAGUGAGAAAAUUAAUCACUUUGGUACCAGAAAUGGAACAUCCUAGGUUCAUUUAGAUUAACAAACUGUUUUGAAACUAAUGAUAUAUAUAGAUAUAUAUAGAUAUAUCCAGUGCUCUGUCACAGAUUCUUUCAUGCUGUUUCUCCAACUCUGCAUUGCAGUGACCUAAUGGGUGAAAAGAGAGAGGAGACAAAUUGGAAAGAGAGGAGGUCAAGCAGGCUGAACACUGUCAGAAAAAGAAAUAGUAUGACAAAAUAGUCUGUUUACCCCAGCUAUUUAUUUCCUAUUUCCAUCGCUACGAUUCUUCUCUGCUUGCCACCCAGAAAAUAAAACAGGGCUGCAAAGUGUUUUCAAACAGCAAAAGAAAAAGCAGCCUAAACUGAUACAAAAUUAUCUAGACAAAAAUAUUAUGAAUGUUUUAAAGGGUUGGAAAAGAACACCGUGGUCAACCCCAGGGUGGGAGAUCCAUUUAAUGUUUUAGAUGCUCUAAACCUCCAUCUGUUGAUGCAGUCACUAUGCUCAUACUGAUGCAGAGGGGUUAAGGAAGGUCUCCACCAGCUAUUACAGAAGAUAAUUGUGCAUAACUUUUCCCCCCAGACUCACAUCCUAUAUAUGACUAGUGAAUACUCUCCCAGUGCCUAUCCCUGUAUAGUCAAAAUAACUUCUAAUAUAUUUAAAUAAUUUUUCAUGGGUGGUCUUGAUUUUUUUUUAGGAGAGUUGUACAAGGUCCCCCCACUUCACUUUGGAGCACACUCAGUAUUGGCCCCCUAUUCACUUCUGAUCAUUUUGGGAGGCCCUUUCAUCCAAAACAAAAUUGAGAAGAAUAAAGUGUCUGUGAUCCCUUUAACUUGCAUUGGGAAACCAAAACAGCCAGAGCUUUCUGGUUUCUUCACAUAGGUGCAUGAAACCUGCAGGUAUAGUAGCCGCACAAGAGAGGAUUAACCAUACCAAAUUCCAGACUGGUACAGCCAGGGGUUUCUGUUCUCCCUACCUUUACCACUUGUUGCUGUUUUUCCCAAAAGUAAAAUGUCCAAAACUUUCAGGUUCAGUGGUUCACAAAGGUACAUGAAACCUGCAGACAUACAAAGCGUUCUCACAAAUAUUGGCACAGGGGAGAAGUGACACAGCCUAUGUAACUAACAACUGAAGCCUAAUAAGUGUGAGUGACUAAGAGGUAUAAGUCUGUAUUAAGGCACAGACAAGGGGCAGCACACUAUUUUAUUUUUAUAAUUUAUAAGUAGAGGCUGUGUUGGAUUAGGAAGGAUGGGAAAAGACAGAAAAACAAACAGGUAAGCUGGCUAUAGCAUAAAGGAUAAGUGACCAGGAUUGAUUGGGAGAGGAUACAGCUGUGAAUAAAAUGUAAAACCAAAGACUAUGGCCCAAAAAUGGAGGUGGGGAAAGGAAGGUGACACUGCCUAAGUAACUAGUCUAAUUAAACACUGAUUCAGUCUGAAUACACCCACCUCUCCUCAGUAUUCAAAUACAAAGUGGCUGGACAAAGUGGUUGCCUAGCCCUAGAUUUUAGCAAUUCACAUUCUUUAUAAAAACCUCAAAUUCUUCUUUCUUUGCAUCCCUUAUUGCCUGCUUCCAUUUCUUUUGCCAGAGUUCCUUUUUAUUCUCCUCUUUUGGACAAGACUUCCAUUUUCUGAAAAACAUCUUCUUGCAUCUAAUAGCUUCUUCCUUGAGUCGCUCAUUAACCAAGCUGACAUCGUCUUGGUCUGAUCGGCAGCCUCCAUUCUAGCUGAGCUUCUAUUAUUGUGAUUUUGAAUAGCCUCCGAGCAUUCUGGAGAGAGUUGACCCUCUUGACUUUCCCUUUCAACUUCCUACAGUUCCAGUCUACUACUUUUCCUACGGUUACAAUCAACUGCAGCUAUAUUUGAGCAUUAUUUACUCCUGUGUACAGCAACUCAAGAGGAAGGAGUGAGACCACAGCAAGUGGGCCAAGGAGAAUGGAAUGGAGUUUGGAAUUGGGUAUGGCUGGCUGGCACCCUGUACAGAAGCAAUAACUAUAUAUAUAUAUUGCAGGUACUAUAUGUAUGAUUGUUAUUUUUCAUUUAUGAUUAAAUUUUUCAUUUAUGAUUGCUGAUUUAGGUGUAAACCUCGCAAAAGAUAAUAGAUUUUAAGAAGUGAUGUUCCAGACAAUUAUCAUAUGUGCCCAGAAUGGAAACCCAAGUACAAAUAAAAUUUCAACAAAAAUGUAAGCAGGCUCUUUGUAGCACUCCUGUCAUAUGGAACUCUUAGCCCACCCUGGUCCAGCACUCACAUGCUUUUGUGGUACAGAGAGGCCAAGGCCAGAGUAAGAAGGAGUUGCUGGUUAUGCAUUUGCAUCCCUUCAAAAUGUUAUCCAAACAAACCCAUCUCAUGCUACCUGCUCUUUAUUUCCUCUCUUCAUUGUGAGAGAGGAGACAGAAAUAAGCACUGUGAAAGUGAUGGAAAUGGCCUAAACUAGGCUUCCUCAACCUCGGCCCUCCAGAUGUUUUGAGACUACAGUUCCCAUCAUCCCUGGCCACAGGUCCUGCAACUAGGGAUCAUGGGAGUUGACUUUCACGCACAAAUAAGACUUGGAAACACAAAAAUCUCAUUUCCUUGUCUAUAAAGGAGAUGGGCAAGUUGAUAUUGCAGGCAACAGUUACACCAGCAGCCAUUCCUUCAUGGAUAGUGCAGGUGUCUUAAACAUAAACACAAGUUUCAGAGCUGGUUCCAGGUUUUUGCCCAUCUUUGGACCAGAUGCUUCUGGUAGGGUCUUUUCCUUAAGUGAGCCACUAACCACCACCUCCUCCUUGCCACUGCCUCUUUGCUUGUCUCUGAGCCCAAGCUGCACCACCUCAGAGGGAGAAGACAAGGCAUCAGGAGGUUAGAACUCCUUCUCCUCACUCUUUUCGUUGCUUUCAGUGAAAUGUGAAUGUACACCUGAAUUUUGCAGCCUUGUUGAUCUCUGUAUUUAAUUUUGUAAUUGUUCUGAAAAUUAUAUAGCAAAAAAACCAAUAAACCAAACUAAUUCUCUUUCUCUUUCUCUCUUGCAUAUUUUUUCAAAGCAAUCAUAUGAAAGAAAAGGUGCUACAUUGAAAGUGAUCGCAAGUCUUCAUUUGCAUCUGAAGUUGAGCAGAAGGACAGCAGAUCUUUAAAGUGCUUUUGAAAACUUGAUGAUUUCCAUUCAUUGUGAUUCCCUUCAGAACUUCAUCAGCCCAGCUAUGCAAACAGCAGCACAGCCAAAACAACCCGCAAACUGCAGCACCCAAGUGCAUUUCAGCUGGUAAUGUUUUCACCUCUCAACCGCCGUAGAUGGUUACAGCAUGGGGAAUGGGAGGGACUUCUGUUUUCCUAUAGACGGCAUACAUUUAUCAUCUGAUUAAAAACAUUUAUUUAUCUCUCUAGAAAAACAUCCAUCUCCUAACAAGCAGAGACAUUUAUAAAUAACUUAUGGUGCUCCAGCCGACUACUAAACAUAAUGAUUUAGGAUGAAAGAAGAAGCCUCUCUGAUCAUUGUCCUUUAGAGUUCCAAAGCCCAUUUUUCAUGUUGAUCUGCUGUCGUCGAUAAGUGAUUGCCUGAUGGUAUAUUGCAUUUCCUCUGCCGUGCUAAGUUGUUUGCAAAAGGAACAAAGGACAACUUGUCACAUCAAAGAAAGGACUGGAGCCCACUAGGAGGUGAAGCAAGAGUUUAUACUCCCUUGCCCUGAG